rnacentral:misc_RNA from 1 species
ACUUGUACUUCGGGGCCCAUGGCAGUCUUCACCCCACUCCUUGUCUCCUUCAGCCCCACCUCUAGGGCGACCUCUGCCACCCUGUCACGACCCAAACCCGCCCCUAUGGGUUUAGCACCGUAACCGGCCAGUAAUCCAAGAUUACCGAAGGCCUGCUUAACAGUAAUACAGUAAAACAGAGCACAGGGGCAUGGCGGAAGCCAAAACAGUAAAUAAACAAUGUCCAAUGAGCUGUGACAGUCUGUAUGCCAAAAAGACUUUUCAUACACAUAUACAUGAACAGUACAGAACAGUAUGUACAUAUAUACAAUCAUUCAGUU